CAGUAGGAGAAGCUGCAGGUGUGAAGGAUUAUCAUUAACGAUGACUGCCAUGCCAGGGUUAUCAGUCACAUCUGUGUCUCUGCUGCUGUAAUAGUUUAUCACUGUACAGCUUAAAUGUUUGGCUUAAUACACCACAAAUAUAAUGUAUAGAUCACAUAAAUUAAAGUAGUGAUUGAAGACAGUAAAUGGAAGAAUUGGAGGAUCACUUCAGCAGCUUCACACAGGACAACAGAGAGAUGUCAGUGACUCCAAGGGACGUUACACCAAGGGUUGUGACGCCAACGCCAAGGGGUGUGACGCCGAGGGUUGUGACCCCAAUGCCAAGGGUUGUGACGCCAACGCCAAGGGGAGUGACGCCGAGGGUUGUGACGCCAAUGCCAAGGGGCGUGACAAAGCGGCGGUAUGUGACAAAUUGGGAUGAGAAUGUGUUGGUUUUAUAAGAAAAGUAGAUGACGGCUACUGUAUAAGGAUGCCGUAAUGGAAAAUUACACAGACCUUAUUUUCUGUGAUAAUCCAAAACCCAAUGGAAAAAUCCCUUCCCCCCCCCCCCCCGAUGCUAACUUCCUGAUUGGCUUACAAAAAUACGUCAUCCCUGGAGGACACUACUAAUAAAAUAAGAUAAAACAUCA